CUGGAAGCUGGAUCCUGGCCUUGGGUCCAGGGUGGGUGGAAACAGCAGAGACCCCGGCGCAGUUGCAUCGCUGGAAGUGGGGUCUGCAGUGCUGAUGGUGUCGGUUGGAGUGCUUGGAGUCCUCAGCGAGCACUAGGAGCAUCGAUUGGCGGAGGUACUCAGUCGGAGUGCCAGCGUUCCGUCACAGACACCAAAACGGAGAAGCAUAUGAAUGCUGUAAACAGCC